rnacentral:rRNA from 1 species
AGAACGAACGCUGGCGGCAUGCCUAACACAUGCAAGUCGAACGAGACCUUCGGGUCUAGUGGCGCACGGGUGCGUAACGCGUGGGAAUCUGCCCUUGGGUUCGGGAUAACAGCGAGAAAUUGCUGCUAAUACCGGAUGAUGACGUAAGUCCAAAGAUUUAUCGCCCAAGGAUGAGCCCGCGUAGGAUUAGCUUGUUGGUGAGGUAAGAGCUCACCAAGGCGACGAUCCUUAGCUGGUCUGAGAGGAUGAUCAGCCACACUGGGACUGAGACACGGCCCAGACUCCUACGGGAGGCAGCAGUGGGGAAUAUUGGACAAUGGGCGAAAGCCUGAUCCAGCAAUGCCGCGUGAGUGAUGAAGGCCUUAGGGUUGUAAAGCUCUUCUACCCGGGAUGAAUAAUGAACGAGUAACCGGAAGAAUAAGCUCCGGACUAACUCCGCGCCAGCAGCCGAC